rnacentral:rRNA from 1 species
ACGACGCUGGCGGCGUGCUUAACACAUGCAAGUCGAACGGAGAAUUUAUUUCGGUAAAUCUUAGUGGCGAACGGGUGAGUAACGCGUGGGCAACCUGCCCUUCAGAUGGGGACAACAUUCCGAAAGGGUGCUAAUACCGAAUACGAUCACGCUGCCGCAUGGCGGGUGUGAUGAAAAGAUGGCCUCUAUUUAUAAGCUAUCGCUGAAGGAUGGGCCUGCGUCUGAUUAGCUAGUUGGUGGGGUAACGGCCUACCAAGGCGAUGAUCAGUAGCCGGUCUGAGAGGAUGAACGGCCACAUUGGGACUGAGACACGGCCCAAACUCCUACGGGAGGCAGCAGUGGGGAAUAUUCCGCAAUGGACGAAAGUCUGACGGAGCAACGCCGCGUGAGUGAUGAAGGUUUUCGGACUGUAAAACUCUGUUGUUUAGGACGAAAGUGCCUGUUGCAAAUAGUUGCAGGUAUUGACGGUACUGAACGAGGAAGCCACGGCUAACUACGUG